UACGUAGGGUGCAAGCGUUGUCCGGAAUUAUUGGGCGUAAAGAGCUUGUAGGCGGUUUGUCGCGUCUGCUGUGAAAUUUCGGGGCUCAACCCCGAACUUGCAGUGGGUACGGGCAGACUAGAGUGUGGUAGGGGAGACUGGAAUUCCUGGUGUAGUGGUGGAAUGCGUAGAUAUCGGGAGGAACACCAGUGGCGAAGGCGGCUUCCUGGACCGGUUCUGACACUGAGGAGCGAAAGCGUGGGGAGCGAUCCGG
rnacentral:rRNA from 1 species